rnacentral:lncRNA from 1 species
AGGGUUUCUAGGUCUUAUCAUUCUCUCUUUUCAGUCUAGAGAGAAAAUCCUAGCUUUCACCCUUGAGAUCUCAACCAUCUUAGUGCUUAGACACAAGGAAGAGUCAUCGGGUGGGUGUACGAGAAACGCACUAGAAUCAUACAAGUCGCAUGCACGAGAACUAUACAGGAUGCACACAGGUUGCAUGCAUGGGAAUCGCACACGAUGUGCACAGGAAUUGUACGAGACACACACGUGAGUAGCAACAUGAGGAGAAAUUCUCCUUUUUUUU